GACGAACCGUGCAAACGUUAUUCGGAAUCACUGGGCUUAAAGGGCGCGUAGGCGGGUGACCAAGUCAAGGGUGAAAUCCUGCGGCUCAGCCGUAGAAGAGCCCCUGAUACUGGUCGUCUGGAGGGAGGUAGGGGCGUGCGGAACUUCCGGUGGAGCGGUGAAAUGCGUAGAUAUCGGAAGGAACGCCGGUGGCGAAAGCGGCACGCUGGACCUUUUCUGACGCUGAGGCGCGAAAGCCAGGGGAGCAAACGGG
rnacentral:rRNA from 1 species